rnacentral:rRNA from 1 species
AGAGUUUGAUCCUGGCUCAGGACGAACGUUGGCGGCGUGCCUUACACAUGCAAGCCGAACGCGAAUGGGAAACCAGCUUGCUGGGGACCCUAGUAGAGUGGCGAACGGGAGCGUAACACGUGAGGAACCUGCCUCGGAGUGGGGAAUAACCCCGAGAAAUCGGAGCUAAUUCCGCAUGAUGCAGCGGCCCCGCAUGGGGACUGCUGUUAAAGACGGCCUCUGCUUGCAAGCCGUCGCUUCGAGAUGGCCUCGCGGCCUAUCAGCUAGUUGGUGAGGUAACGGCUCACCAAGGCGACGACGGGUAGCCGGCCUGAGAGGGUGUCCGGCCUCAUUGGGACUGAGACACGGCCCAGACUCCUACGGGAGGCAGCAGUGAGGAAUCUUGCGCAAUGGGCGAAAGCCUGACGCAGCGACGCCGCGUGAGGGAUGAAGGCCUUCGGGUUGUAANCCUCUGUCGGGGGGGACGAACACGGAAUCGGUG